rnacentral:rRNA from 1 species
GACGAACGCUGACGGCGUGCUUAACACAUGCAAGUCGAACGGAAAGGCCUGCUUUCCCUUGUGGAUUGCGGGUACUCGAGUGGCGAACGGGUGAGUAACACGUGAGUGAUCUGCCCCCAACUUGGGUAUAAGCCUGGGAAACUGGGUCUAAUUCCCGAUAGGACUGCAGGGUGGUGCCUGUUGUGGAAAACGAUUUUCUAGUGGUUGGGGAUGAGCUCGCGGCCUAUCAGCUUGUUGGUGGGGUAAUGGCCUACCAAGGCGGCGACGGGUAGCCGGCCUGGGAGGGUGGACGGCCACAUUGGGACUGAGAUACGGCCCAGACUCCUACGGGAGGCAGCAGUGGGGAAUAUUGCACAAUGGGCGGAAGCCUGAUGCAGCGACGCCGCGUGGGGGAUGACGGGCUUCGGGUUGUAAACUCCUUUCGACCGCGAGGAAGCCACCUGGUUGGAAGGGUGGUGACGGUAGUGGUAGAAGAAGCACCGGCUAACUACGUG